GAUCAUGGCUCAGGAUGAACGCUAGCUACAGGCUUAACACAUGCAAGUCGAGGGGCAGCAUAAUCGAAGCUUGCUUGAUGAUGGCGACCGGCGCACGGGUGAGUAACGCGUAUCCAACCUUCCCCAUACUAGAGGAUAGCCCGGCGAAAGUCGGAUUAAUACUCUAUGUUGUAUUUAGAAGACAUCUGAAGAAUACCAAAGGUUUACCGGUAUGGGAUGGGGAUGCGUCUGAUUAGCUUGUUGGCGGGGUAACGGCCCACCAAGGCAACGAUCAGUAGGGGUUCUGAGAGGAAGGUCCCCCACAUUGGUACUGAGACACGGACCAAACUCCUACGGGAGGCAGCAGUGAGGAAUAUUGGUCAAUGGGCGAGAGCCUGAACCAGCCAAGUAAGCGUGCAGGAUGACGGCCCUAUGGGUUGUAAACUGCUUUUGUACGGGAAUAAAGUCAGGGACGUGUCCCUGUUUGUAUGUACCGUAAGAAUAAGGACCGGCUAAUUCCGUGCCAGCCGCCGC
rnacentral:rRNA from 1 species